GACAGAGGUCCCGAGCGUUAGGCGGAAUCACUGGGCUUAAAGCGUGUGUAGGUGGAUGCCUAAGUACCUUGUGAAAUCCCACGGCUUAACCGUGGAACUGCUCGGUAUACUGGGUGUCUUGAGCCAGCUAGGGGCUACCGGAACAAAUGGUGGAGCGGUGAAAUGCGUAGAUAUCAUUUGGAACGCCAAUGGUGAAAACAGGUAGCUGGGGCUGUGCUGACACUGAGACACGAAAGCCAGGGGAGCGAACGGG
rnacentral:rRNA from 1 species